rnacentral:rRNA from 1 species
AGAGUUUGAUCAUGGCUCAGAUUGAACGCUGGCGGUAGGCUUAACACAUGCAAGUCGAGCGGAAACGAAGAAAAGCUUGCUUUUCAGGCGUCGAGCGGCGGACGGGUGAGUAACGCGUAGGAAUCUGCCUAGUAGUGGGGGACAACCUGUGGAAACGCAGGCUAAUACCGCAUAAUCCCUGAGGGGGAAAGGAGGGGAUCUUCGGACCUUUCGCUAUUAGAUGAGCCUGCGUGAGAUUAGCUAGUUGGUGAGGUAAAGGCUCACCAAGGCGACGAUCUCUAGCUGGUCUGAGAGGAUGAUCAGCCACACUGGGACUGAGACACGGCCCAGACUCCUACGGGAGGCAGCAGUGGGGAAUAUUGGACAAUGGGCGCAAGCCUGAUCCAGCCAUACCGCGUGUGUGAAGAAGGCCUUAGGGUUGUAAAGCACUUUCAGAAGGGAGGAAAGGUUGAUGUUUAAUACGCAUUAGCUGUGACGUAC